UACAGAGGUCUCAAGCGUUGUUCGGAUUCAUUGGGCGUAAAGGGUGCGUAGGUGGCGCUGUAAGUCGGGUGUGAAAUUUCGGAGCUUAACUCCGAAACUGCAUUCGAUACUGCGGUGCUUGAGGACUGGAGAGGAGACUGGAAUUCAUGGUGUAGCAGUGAAAUGCGUAGAGAUCAUGAGGAAGACCAGUGGCGAAGGCGGGUCUCUGGACAGUUCCUGACACUGAGGCAACGAAGGCCAGGGGAGCAAACGGG
rnacentral:rRNA from 1 species